rnacentral:rRNA from 1 species
AUUGAACGCUGGCGGCAUGCCUUACACAUGCAAGUCGGACGAGUGGCGAACGGGUGAGUAAUGUAUCGGAACGUGCCCAGUAAUGGGGGAUAACUGUCGGAAAGGAUAGCUAAUACCGCAUAUUAUCCGAGCGGCCGAUGUCUGAUUAGCUGGUUGGCGGGGUAAAGGCUCACCUAGGCGACGAUCAGUAGCGGGUCUGAGAGGAUGAUACGCCACACUGGGACUGAGACACGGCCCAGACUCCUACGGGAGGCAGCAGUGGGUAAUUGUGUACAAUGGGCGCAAGCCUGAUGCAGCCAUGCCGCGUGUAUGAAGAAGGCCUUCGGGUUGUAAAGGACUUUUGUCGGGGAAGCGGUACCUGAAGAAUAAGCACCGGCUAACUACGUGCCAGCAGCCGCGGUAAUAC